rnacentral:rRNA from 1 species
AUUGAACGCUGGCGGCAGGCCUAACACAUGCAAGUCGAGCGGAUGAAGGGAGCUUGCUCCUGGAUUCAGCGGCGGACGGGUGAGUAAUGCCUAGGAAUCUGCCUGGUAGUGGGGGAUAACGUCCGGAAACGGGCGCUAAUACCGCAUACGUCCUGAGGGAGAAAGUGGGGGAUCUUCGGACCUCACGCUAUCAGAUGAGCCUAGGUCGGAUUAGCUAGUUGGUGGGGUAAAGGCCUACCAAGGCGACGAUCCGUAACUGGUCUGAGAGGAUGAUCAGUCACACUGGAACUGAGAAACGGUCCAGACUCCUACGGGAGGCAGCAGUGGGGAAUAUUGGACAAUGGGCGAAAGCCUGAUCCAGCCAUGCCGCGUGUGUGAAGAAGGUCUUCGGAUUGUAAAGCAAUUUAAGUUGGGAGGAAGGGCAGUAAGUUAAUACCUUGCUGUUUUGACGUUACCAACAGAAUAAGCACCGGCUAACUUCGU